UACGAAGGGGACUAGCGUUGUUCGGAAUCACUGGGCGUAAAGCGCACGUAGGCGGAUUUGUAAGUCAGGGGUGAAAUCCCGGGGCUCAACCUCGGAACUGCCUUUGAUACUGCGAAUCUUGAGUCCGAUAGAGGUGGGUGGAAUUCCUAGUGUAGAGGUGAAAUUCGUAGAUAUUAGGAAGAACACCAGUGGCGAAGGCAGCACUCUGGGACGGUACUGACGCUGAGACGCGAAAGCGUGGGGAGCAAACAGG
rnacentral:rRNA from 1 species